GGACACACGGGCCCUGUGCUGUCUCAGCUGAGAGGUCCCCAUCUACUGACUCACUCGCACCUGGGGCUUCUUGGCUGGUCAUCUGGAAAGGUGAUGGGUCAUGCGUCUUCCUGACACACUGUGAAGCAAGAAGAAAUGGAACAGUAGCUCUGUGUUACACGUGAGGAGCGAGAAGCACCAACAUGGGUCUUCAUUCUGGAUUUCAUCUUCAAUAUGGAUCCACAGGCUUUAAGAACAUAACGCUUUCUAAAGAGCUCCAGCAAUGGAAACAGCUGUCAGCUCUUCCACCAAAGAUGCUCAAACCAUCACGCUGUCACAUUUAAAUAUAAGAAGCCCCCAAUAUGGAAGAAGACAUCCCUUCUGGUUACCGUCUUGUGUGCUAGCUCUCUUUCACUAAUGUCCACUUUAAAAAUAUACAUCAUAACUUGAGCAUAGCGACACAUGCUUUUAAUCCCAGCACCUGGGAGGCAGAGGCAGGCGGGUCCCUGAGAUUUGAGGCCAACCUGGUCUACAGAGUGAGUUCCAGGACAGCAGGGGCUAUAUAGUUAAACCAUCCAUGUUUUGAAGAAACAAGCAAGUGUAUAUUAUUUACUUAUAUUACAUAUUACAUUGUGCAUAUAUAGUAUAUAUGCAUCAUAAUAAUCUGUCCAUCCCAUACAUUGAAUGAAUUGAUAUUUCAAUCUCCCAAAAAUCUGG
ensembl:lincRNA Gm8883 predicted gene 8883